GCAAGUCGAACGAGAACGGACUCUUCGGAGUCUUAGUAAAGUGACGCACGGGUGAGUAACACGUGGGUAACCUGCCCUUCGAUUGGGGAUAACUAUUAGAAAGUGUAGCUCAUACCGAAUACGCCUGCUUGGUCAUAGGACCGGGCAGUGAAAGCGGCGCAAGUCGCGUCGGAGGAUGGGCCCGCGGUCCAUUAGCUAGUUGGUAGGGUAAAGGCCUACCAAGGCUUCGAUGUAUAGCUGAUUUGAGAGAAUGAUC
rnacentral:rRNA from 1 species